rnacentral:rRNA from 1 species
UUCAGUUGGGCACUCUAAUGAGACUGCCGGUGGACAAACCGGAGGAAGGUGGGGAUGACGUCAAGUCCUCAUGGCCCUUAUAGUGGGGCUACACACGUCAUACAAUGGAUGGUACAGAGGGUCGCCAACCCGCAGGGGGAGCCAAUCCCAUAAAGCCAUUCGUAGUCCGGAUCGCAGUCUGCAACUCGACUGCGUGAAGUCGGAAUCGCUAGUAAUCGUGGAUCAGAAUGUCACGGUGAAUACGUUCCCGGGUCUU